AGAACGUAGCUAAAAUAGAAAAGCAUCUCA
rnacentral:tRNA from 1 species